rnacentral:rRNA from 1 species
GAUUAACGCUAGCGGCAGGCCUAAUACAUGCAAGUCGAACGGCAGCACGGGUAGUAAUACCUGGUGGCGAGUGGCGCACGGGUGAGUAACACGUAUGCAAUCUACCUUUAACUGGGGAAUAACCCUUCGAAAGAAGGGCUAAUACCGCAUAACACUGCGAUGGGGAUUCCCAAUGCAGUUAAACCUGAGGGGGUUAAAGAUGAGCAUGCGUCCGAUUAGUUAGUUGGCGAGGUAAUGGCUCACCAAGACUUCGAUCGGUA